UACGGAGGGUGCAAGCGUUGUCCGGAUUUAUUGGGUUUAAAGGGUGCGUAGGCGGCCCGUUAAGUCAGUGGUGAAAGCCUCCAGCUCAACUGGAGAACUGCCAUUGAUACUGGCGGGCUUGAGUACAGACGAGGUAGGCGGAAUUGAUUGUGUAGCGGUGAAAUGCAUAGAUACAAUCAAGAACACCGAUUGCGUAGGCAGCUUACUAGGCUGUAACUGACGCUGAGACGCGAAAGCGUGGGGAGCGAACAGG
rnacentral:rRNA from 1 species